UAUGACCACAACGCGUUGAAACACCAGUUACCGUACGAUCAGUGAAGUUAAGCAACGUCGAGACAUGUCAGUACCUUGAUAGGUGACUGCUUGGGAAUACCAGGUGCUGUAAG